GUGAUGGUUUCUGAUCUAGGUUAACCCAUGGAUGGAUUUUCUGGUGCACACCCCUCAAAAAGAAUAUUUUGCACCCCACCCCCCAAAAAGGUUUUCCCACCCCACCUAGAGAAAUUUCAAAAAAGAAAUUUAAAUGCUCAUUGUGGUAAAUCACGGUAGUAUGAUUGGAAUAAAGAUUUUGAUGUAAGACCAAAAAUCUCAAGGGGCUUUGCCCCCAUUAGCA